rnacentral:rRNA from 1 species
UAAUACGUAGGGUGCGAGCGUUAAUCGGAAUUACUGGGCGUAAAGCGUGCGCAGGCGGUUGUGCAAGACAGAUGUGAAAUCCCCGGGCUUAACCUGGGAACUGCAUUUGUGACUGCACGGCUAGAGUGCGGCAGAGGGGAGUGGAAUUCCGCGUGUAGCAGUGAAAUGCGUAGAUAUGCGGAGGAACACCGAUGGCGAAGGCAGCUCCCUGGGCCUGCACUGACGCUCAUGCACGAAAGCGUGGGGAGCAAACAGGAUUAGAUACCCUGGUAGUCCACGCCCUAAACGAUGUCAACUGGUUGUUGGUCCUUCACUGGAUCAGUAACGUAGCUAACGCGUGAAGUUGACCGCCUGGGGAGUACGGCCGCAAGGUUG